UACGUAGGUGGCAAGCGUUGUCCGGAUUUAUUGGGUUUAAAGGGUGCGUAGGCGGCCCUGUAAGUCAGUGGUGAAAUACGGCAGCUCAACUGUCGAGGUGCCAUUGAUACUGCGGGGCUUGAGUGUUAAUGAGGUAGGCGGAAUUGACGGUGUAGCGGUGAAAUGCUUAGAUAUCGUCAAGAACACCGAUAGCGAAGGCAGCUUACCAAGCAAUAACUGACGCUGAGGCACGAAAGUGCGGGGAUCAAACAGG
rnacentral:rRNA from 1 species